rnacentral:lncRNA from 1 species
AGAAGAGGAAUUGCGAUGACCUUACUGAGGCUUGGAAAGGGUUUCAACACGUUACCAAAUAUGGCCAAUGUGGGGCGUGGGAUACAUUCUGCUGUGCGGAGGAGAGCGGGGGAUGAGUCUCCAAGUACGCACGGAUUUACAGGAACUUUAAGCUUAAGACAAAAACGUGGAAGACAACUCGAAUAUGUGACAUCAGAGUGUGUGACAAGCAGCCAACACAGGACCUCACGUUCAGAAUUAAAGACUUUAAGAAGCCACCUUCCACUCC